rnacentral:misc_RNA from 1 species
GAUGAAGAACGUAGCGAAAUGCGAUAAGUAUUGUGAAUUGCAGAAUCGUGAAUCAUCGAAUCUUUGAACGCACCUUGCACUCAGUGGUAUUCCGCUGAGUAUGCCUGUUUGAGUGUCAGUAAACUCCUCUAAACAACAAUUUGUUGUUUAGGAAUUGGAGAUGCACUUCUGCUUAACAUCCGUUUUGCGGGGAUUGCUUCUCUUAAACAAAGUGGAGUGUUCUGCGAAUUCUGCUUGACGCUCUGGCCUAGCUAUAACUUUCGAGUUAAACUACGCCUUAGCUUAGGAAUUCGCAAGAAUAAUAUUUGCUCCAGCAGUCUUUUUCGAAGGGCUCUGCUUUGCAGACCUUGAGAAAGGACAAUUACUUUGAACAAUGACCUCAAAUCAAGCAAGACUACCCGCUGAACUUAAGCAUAUCAAUAAGCGGAGGAA